UACGGAGGGUGCAAGCGUUAUCCGGAAUCAUUGGGUUUAAAGGGUCCGCAGGCGGAAUUAUAAGUCAGUGGUGAAAGCUCUCAGCUUAACUGAGAAGCUGCCAUUGAUACUGUAGUUCUUGAAUUUGGUCGAAGUGGGCGGAAUAUGACAUGUAGCGGUGAAAUGCAUAGAUAUGUCAUAGAACACCGAUAGCGAAGGCAGCUCACUAGGCCAACAUUGACGCUCAUGGACGAAAGCGUGGGGAGCAAACAGGAUUAGAUACCCUAGUAGU
rnacentral:rRNA from 1 species